UCUCCAGUGAGACAGUCUCUGG
rnacentral:miRNA from 1 species